rnacentral:rRNA from 1 species
UGGGGAAUAUUGCACAAUGGACGGAAGUCUGAUGCAGCGACGCCGCGUGGGGGAUGAAGGCUUUCGGGUUGUAAACUCCUUUCAGUACAGAAGAAGCUUUAUUGUGACGGUAUGUGCAGAAGAAGCGCCGGCUAACUACGUGCCAGCAGCCGCGGUAAUACGUAGGGCGCGAGCGUUGUCCGGAAUUAUUGGGCGUAAAGGGCGUGUAGGCGGCUAGAUAAGUGUGAUGUUUAAAUCCAAGGCUUAACCUUGGGGUUCAUUACAAACUGUUUAGCUUGAGUGCUGGAGAGGAUAGUGGAAUUCCUAGUGUAGCGGUAAAAUGCGUAGAUAUUAGGAGGAACACCGGUGGCGAAGGCGGCUAUCUGGACAGUAACUGACGCUGAGGCGCGAAAGCGUGGGGAGCAAACAGG